rnacentral:lncRNA from 1 species
CAAAGACCUGAAAAAAGAAACCUGAUGAAGUGACAUUUGUGGUUUCAAAAAUAAUACACCUCCUCUAGUCUCCUGUUCAUUUACCAAAGAAAAGCUCUCUUGUUCUUUAGCUCCCAUUAUAUAAUGCAAUGUAUAGAAUAAUUGUGAACAAAAUAAUUUUCUGUAUGAGAUAUAUAAAAUCAUUUCGACCCAAAACAACCGAGUUAAAUGAUAGAAACGUGAUCUAUUGUUGCCUUGUACUUCCAAACAUUCUCCUGUUGAUACUAAUCCUGUCUAACUGAGUAUGAAUAGAACCAAAGAAUUUGCAUGGCAGAGUAGCCUAAACAGAAACUAAAAUGCUAGCCAUGUGUGAGUCACUAUUAUUAUUCAUUCAUUUGGGGUUCAAAUCUUCUGAGUAAUUUACACAUAGUAGACCCUCAAGAGAUGCAUUUCAUUAAAGUGACUUCUCAUUGCCGUUUUCUAUAAAUUAUUUUUAAUCUUAACAUGCUACCUCAUUUAAGCUCUCUGUACAGCAGCUGUAUAAAUACCGCUCAGGCAGACUUCUUGGCAAAUACAGCAAGGCUGCUACAAACAGCCAAAAACAAAGCGGAAUUGUUCUAGGAAAUAAAUUACUUGAACAGCGGAGGAGACUUUGCCCUAUUUGAUAUGGAAAGCACAGCCAUGGGUAUGGAUAUCAGAGCCUCAGAGUUAGGAGCUGCUCCAAGCCUUCUUCCCUAGAUGCCUCACACCCCUCCUGGACAACUUCCAAGUAUCACAGCUCUGGAUGGCCACUCAUCUUCUGUGUACAGACUCCAACCCAGCUGAAACCCAUUUCAUGAAAUGUACUUUAUAUAAACCUAAUUUAUUAAAGAGUUGCAUUCAUUAAUGGAUUUUUUUUUUUUUUAGUAUUACUACUCAUAGAAGCUGGGAAACUGAAAAGGCAAUAUUGUUCCAGUUACUGUUUUUGUUGAUAAAAAUUUUGAGAACCAC